GACGAACGCUGGCGGCGUGCCUAAUACAUGCAAGUAGAACGCUGAAGGAGGAGCUUGCUUCUCUGGAUGAGUUGCGAACGGGUGAGUAACGCGUAGGUAACCUGCCUGGUAGCGGGGGAUAACUAUUGGAAACGAUAGCUAAUACCGCAUAAUAGCAGUUAUUGCAUGAUAACUGUUUGAAAGGUGCAAUUGCACCACUACCAGAUGGACCUGCGUUGUAUUAGCUAGUUGGUGGGGUAACGGCUCACCAAGGCGACGAUACAUAGCCGACCUGAGAGGGUGAUGGGCACCCUGGGAAUUGGACACGGCCCAGACCUCCUCCGGGAGGCGCCAGAAGGGAACCUUCGGCAUGGGACGGAAGUCUGACCGGGCACGGCGGCGGAGGUAAAGAGGGUUUCCGGUUGGAAAAGCCCGGUUUAAGAGAAGAACGAGUGUGAGAGUGGAAAGUUCACACUGUGACGGUAUCUUACCAGAAAGGGACGGCUAACUACGUG
rnacentral:rRNA from 1 species